rnacentral:rRNA from 1 species
CCAGACUCCUACGGGAGGCAGCAGUGAGGAAUAUUGGUCAAUGGGCGCGAGCCUGAACCAGCCAAGUCGCGUGAGGGAUGACGGCCCUACGGGUUGUAAACCUCUUUUGCCGGGGAGCAACGGGCGCCACGUGUGGCGCCACUGAGAGUACCCGGAGAAAAAGCAUCGGCUAACUCCGUGCCAGCAGCCGCGGUAAUACGUAGGUGGCAAGCGUUAUCCGGAUUUACUGGGUGUAAAGGGUGCGUAGGUGGCAGGGCAAGUCAGAUGUGAAAGCCCGGGGCUCAACCCCGGUACUACAUUUGAAACUGUCCAGCUGGAGUGCAGGAGAGGUAAGCGGAAUUCCUAGUGUAGCGGUGAAAUGCGUAGAUAUUAGGAGGAACACCAGUGGCGAAGGCGGCUUACUGGACUGUAACUGACACUGAGGCACGAAAGCGUGGGGAGCAAACAGGAUUAGAUACCCCAGUAAG